AUGCCCCCGGACGCGAUGUGCCGCCGCUUCUGCAAUGAGCCGGCCGCCGUGGUCGUUUCCGUCAACUACCGUCGCGCGCCCGAGCACCGGUUCCCCGCCAUGGGACUCGUCCUCGAGGAACCCCGCAGCACGGUCGUGACCCAGUGCGUGCUGGAGGUGUACCGCUUAUCCCGCGCAGAGCGUGAUGCAGAAAGGAAGGGACUUUGCCGUCCGGGUGUAGCUAGCCUACCUCGGAGUGCCGUCGGGGCGGGCGUGGGUGAGGGUGGAGCCGUACGCGCAGCAGAAGUCCACCGGCGGGAGGAGGUCGCGGAGCGGGCCGGCCAGCUCCAGGCCCCUUGCGGCCGCCGCCUCCAUCUGGCCGCGCCGGGCUGCACGGAGGAGGAGGUGCCGGAGCAGGAGCAGGAGCAGAUGGGCGGGCGGGCGGUGGAGGCCGGCGUCGAUUUUGGAGCAGAGGGGCGGAGGGGCAGAAGGGCGGAGGAUCUGGGCAAGGGGAACGGCGCGCCGUCUGGCGGCUAA
rnacentral:rRNA from 1 species